rnacentral:lncRNA from 1 species
GGGUGCUAUGAUGAAAUUUUUUAUCCAGCCUUUUUAAGUUGAAAUCUCUGUCCCCGACUUUUUACAUACACUCAAAACUCAUGUUCUGCCUUUUUUUCAAAUAACAUCAUAGCUCCCUUAUGAUUGUCAUUUCAUUUUUUUUUUUUUUAUUUCUUGCCAUGCAGUAUUGUUUUUUCUCAUUGUUGCAGACUGUACAGUGACCCAAAGUUGCUAGCUACUACAUCAUUUUCGUCUCUAUUGGCAUGCAUACCACACAUCAUUUUUUGUAUAAAAAGAAAUCCAUUUGUUUGAAUAUUUUCUUAAUCAUUAGCUGCAAUGAACUUUUAAAUUGCUACAAAAAUAACAUGGAACCAGGUGCUCCGCAGGGCACAGCUUUAUACGACCACAGAUAUCAAAACCUUAACAGUUGGGGCAAGUAUGGACAAAACAUUCAAGCUUGAUACAA